rnacentral:rRNA from 1 species
UGCGCAGGCGGACUUGUUAGUCAGAGGUGAAAUCUCACAGCUUAACUGUGAAACUGCCUUUGAUACUGCAGGUCUUGAAUCCAGAAGAGAGUUGUGGAAUUCCGAGUGUAGCAGUGAAAUGUGUAGAUAUUCGGAAGAACACCAGCGGCGAAGGCAGCAACUUGGUCUGGUAUUGACGCUCAGGCACGAAAGCAUGGGGAUCAAACA